GCAAGAAACCCAGCUCUACCGCCUAAAACCAACGCAACAACUUUAUUUAACAAAACAAAACAUUUUAAACACCCAGU
rnacentral:rRNA from 1 species